UUUGUAGAAAAAUAAAAAUCAAAGAUAACCGUCACUGCCGAAAUUAUAAUUAGAACUGAUAAUAUAAUUAUUAUUUUGUCUUGCUUAUACCUACGGGCUACGGGUACGUAUAAUACGACAUUACGUUUUGCUAUUUCGCCGUUAUAAUGCGUUUUACUUUAUAGUCUAUACCAUCGUGUUGUUAUUUGUUAAUAAAAUUAAAAAUGUCCAAUAAACGGCAGUUGACGUUGGACAAUUUCAUGUCAUCAACAUCAACUUCUAAAAAGACUACAAACGCCCAAAGCAGUACAUCGGCGUCGCCGUUACCUUUGACGGAGCUGGUCGUGCUGCCGACUGUCUGCAAAGCGUACAUGGCUGCGGUCGGUAAAUGCUGCGUUCACAGUUUUGUCACAGUACAACUUCUACGGACUUUUGCGUUUACGUGAUAUAAAUUAUAAUAUUAUUAAUUAAUUACAAAUUACAAUGUAUAAAA